rnacentral:lncRNA from 1 species
CAAUUUGAGAAUGGAGGAAGCAAGAAAGAGUCCAAAUGAGUCUCGGAAAAAGGACUUUGAAAACCAACACUUCAGUUCGGAAAAUUCCGGAGGAACCUUCGGAAAAUUCCGGAUUUUCAGAAAUUUCCGGAAAAACCUUCGGCAAUCUCAGGAGCUUCGGAAAUUUCCGAAAUCUUGUAAAAUAUUACGGAAUCCUAGAAAUCAGCCUUCGUGAGGAAGGUAGAAAAAUCCGAAACUCGAUCAAAC